UGGGAAUUUUGGACAAUGGGCGAAAGCCUGAUCCAGCAAUGCCGCGUGUGUGAAGAAGGCCUUCGGGUUGUAAAGCACUUUUGUCCGGAAAGAAAUCCUUGGCUCUAAUACAGUCGGGGGAUGACGGUACCGGAAGAAUAAGCACCGGCUAACUACGUGCCAGCAGCCGCGGUAAUACGUAGGGUGCAAGCGUUAAUCGGAAUUACUGGGCGUAAAGCGUGCGCAGGCGGUUUGCUAAGACCGAUGUGAAAUCCCCGGGCUCAACCUGGGAACUGCAUUGGUGACUGGCAGGCUAGAGUAUGGCAGAGGGGGUAGAAUUCCACGUGUAGCAGUGAAAUGCGUAGAGAUGUGGAGGAAUACCGAUGGCGAAGGCAGCCCCUGGCCAAGUACUGACGCUCAUGCACGAAAGCGUGGGGAGCAAACAGGAUUAGAUACCCUGGUAGUCCACGCCCUAAACGAUGUCAACUAGUUGUUGGGGAUUCAUUUCCUUAGUAACGUAGCUAACGCGUGAAGUUGACCGCCUGGGGAGUACGGUCGCAAGAUUAAAACUCAAAGAAUUGACGGGGUCAUAGCUGUUUCCU
rnacentral:rRNA from 1 species